CCUAUGCAGGCCUUGAAUGCCUUCUGCUCAACCUUUGUCUGCACUUUAAGAGCAACUUCAGUCUUCAUCUCAGUCAGGAUGCCCUCCAUGUCAACAGCAUAUGGUGACUAGUUAAGGGGUAGACGUGCGCCACCUGGCUCAGCCUUGAGAAUUUUGCUUGAGUUGCUGAGACAAAGAUAUGUGCUUUCCACUGGGAUAUAACUGUGGUAGAAUAAAGGAAAGACUCCCAAAAGCCACCUUUGCAACCCCAGUGAAGAGUCUAAUGGAGGGUUGACGCCAACACAGAGAAAACCAAGUCCAGGGAUGGUGAGAGACUGUGUGCGCCCCUGGAUCCAGGUACUGAAUGCUGGCUAGGUCCAUCCCUGGACUUUUCAGGUAAGGAGCUCAGAAACUGAUCACUUCGCUUGAGUUGGAAUAUCACUUGGAACAGAGUUCUAAAAUAGACCUUUUAAGCAUGUUCCCACUCCAAAAGGUGAAGAAAGCCUAAUUUUUUCCCCCAGGUUCUUGAGUGCUCAUAGCUGAUUUCUUCCUCUUCAUAUCAGUCUCUACCAUUCACUAUUGUUAAAGCCAAAAGUUAACAAGUUCACAGGAAGUACCACUUAGGGCUGAUUACCUUGCUGGGAUUCCCAAGAGUAGCAUGAGGCCUAGAGAUUUUAUAAUAACAUACGAGAUGGAGAAGCUGCAAAGGGAAGGGGAAGGGAGAGCAGGAGAGAACUUGAAUCAACUCUGCUACAGAAUUACCGAUUUCUUCCUGGGCAGCUACAUUCUGAUUAAACCAACUGCUGGGUACUAAGACCAAAAAGCAAUGUGGUCUCACUGUGGGGGAGCAGCCUCUGUUCUCAUUUUCUUAAAUCACAAAGACAAUGGUAGAAGAACAAGAGGUAAAGUACUUAGAAAACAGAAGUUGAGAUUUCUAACUACUACGUUUCUCUCCAGGGGGUGAGGGAUGAGGAAGGAACAGACUGUGAUGACUAUCACCAUUUGAGUUUUACUCUGCUAUAUGCCGCUCUUCUAUCAAGUAACCCGAGGAAACACCUUAUAGGAAUAGCUCUCAAGACGUGGUUCCUGGGCCAGCAGCACCUGGUAGCUCGUUAGAGAUGGUCAACGCUGGAGCAUGAGGAAAGCAAAUUGGGUUGAACCUCUUCACAGGACCUGCUUCCUGAGAUCUUCUCGCCAGCAGCCUGCAGUGUGGGCUUUCUGAGAACAGAGGGCAUGAGGAAACGCCACAGCCCCAGAGACGUUCUCUGCCUGCAGGUGCUGACAAUACACAGACACACACCUGUGUCUAAGUGGGCCCAUUUUCACCUCUGGGAACAGGCCCUGCUGAGGAGGGGAGGUCCUCCAGCACAGCAAGGCAAGCCUGCUCACUCGGUCCUGCUUCCCACAGUCCAGCAAGCCCUGCUGGUUGCUUGUCAUUCCCUUCCUCUCUCGUGUCACCAUCUAGCAGCAUUCUGGGAGACGAUGACCCUUCUUUUCUCACGUACUCUAAUCCCAUGUUACCCAAGUGUGGUCCGUGGACCAGCAGCACCUGCAUUACCUGGGAACUUGGAAAAGCAGAGUCUCAGGCCACACCCAACCUACUGAAUCAGAAUCUGCUUUGUACCCAGAUCUCUGAAUGAUCUUUUUUUUCCUGUUUUUUAAAUUGUGGUAAAGUAAAUGUAACAUAAAAUUUACUAGCCUAGCCAUUUUUAAGUGUAAAAUUUAGUGUAUUUAAUACUUUCACAAUGUUGUGCAACCAUCACCACCAUCCAUGUUCAUAGCUCUUUUCAUCCUGCAAAACUGAAACAAUAUACUCAUUAAAGAAUGAUUCCUCAUUUCUCCCUCCCCCGGCCCCUGGCAAUCACCAUUCUACUUUCUGUCUCCGUGAUUUCGACUACUCUUAAGUGUCUCACUCAAAUAAGUGGAAUCAUACAGUAUCUGCCUUCUUGUGACCGGCUUAUUUUUUAGCAUAAUGUCCUCAAUGUUCAUCCAUGCUGUGGCAUAUGUCAGAAUUUCCUUCCUUUUUAAGGCCAAAUAAUGUUCCGUUGUAU
ensembl:lncRNA